rnacentral:rRNA from 1 species
UACGGAGAGUUUGAUCCUGGCUCAGGACGAACGCUGGCGGCGUGCUUAACACAUGCAAGUCGAACGGAAAGGCCCUGCUUUUGUGGGGUGCUCGAGUGGCGAACGGGUGAGUAACACGUGAGUAACCUGCCCUUGACUUUGGGAUAACUUCAGGAAACUGGGGCUAAUACCGGAUAGGAGCUCCUGCUGCAUGGUGGGGGUUGGAAAGUUUCGGCGGUUGGGGAUGGACUCGCGGCUUAUCAGCUUGUUGGUGGGGUAGUGGCUUACCAAGGCUUUGACGGGUAGCCGGCCUGAGAGGGUGACCGGCCACAUUGGGACUGAGAUACGGUCCAGACUCCUACGGGAGGCAGCAGUGGGGAAUAUUGCACAAUGGGCGGAAGCCUGAUGCAGCAACGCCGCGUGCGGGAUGACGGCCUUCGGGUUGUAAACCGCUUUCGCCUGUGACGAAGCGUGAGUGACGGUAAUGGGUAAAGAAGCACCGGCUAACUACGUGCCAGCAGCCGCGG